AUUGAACGCUAGCGGCAUGCUAACACAUGCAAGUCGAACGAGUGGCGGACGGGUGAGUAAUGUAUGGGGACCUGCCCAAUAGAGGGGGAUAACUACUGGAAAGCGUGCUAUACCGCAUACUAUAGGAGCGGCCGAUAUCGGAUUAGUUAGUUGGUGGGGUAAAGGCUCACCAAGGCAACGAUCGGUAGCUAGUUUGAGAGGACGACCAGCCACACUGGGACUGAGACACGGCCCAGAUUCCUACGGGAGGCAGCAGUGGGGAAUAUUGGACAAUGGGGGAAAGCCUGAUGCAGCCAUCCCGCGGGGAUGAUGAAGGCUUAGGGUUGUAAAGUACUUUUAGCGGGGAGGCGGUACCGGCAGAAGAAGCACCGGCUAACUACGUGCCAGCAGCCGCGGUAAUAC
rnacentral:rRNA from 1 species